AUUUUGGAGUGAACUAAACAUAGCCGCAGAUGAACACCAACGGGAUAAGGAUGAAGCGUCUGGAGGGGUACAUGUGGAAGAGAACUAUUGGUUCUCCUCCUAUAGACAAUUAAUUAUUGGUCGACAAGCAGAGGAGCAUAUGCUUGAUGCUCCUCCUGUUGUUCUAUAGGAGUGCUAUUUUGGCAUCCAAGGGAAUUGACAGUUCACCCAAAAAUCUCAUAGGCACUCUUGAACUGGUCAUGGACUCCUGGUGCGUGCUGUCAAGUAUGGCAUCCGGACGUCAUGCUCGUGUCAGAUGGCCCGUGAACUCGUCUGUGCAAGCUGUUGGUUUGGGUCAGUCUGUCCUCUUUUUAUUGCGAUUCGGAGCGAGUGGUGCUGAGUUUUGGUUGUUAGGUCUUUUUAUUUGACCAAGUGGUCUGCGUGUUGCUCGACUUACCAGAGUAGUGGCGUCGUGUUUGCUAGUUGGAUCAUUCUCUGCACCGACGUUAUAUUAUUGAGGUAGUGUGCCACACCGCGCAUGUCAGGUUGUGUGGUUUUCGGAUAUGUUUUCACUAAAAAAAACUGGACCAUCAUCUCUUUUAUUUCCCUCCC
rnacentral:lncRNA from 1 species